rnacentral:rRNA from 1 species
CACGUAGGGUGCAAGCGUUGUCCGGAUUCAUUGGGCGUAAAGGGCUCGUAGGCGGCUUAGCAAGUCGGGUGUGAAAUCCCACGGCUCAACCGUGGAAGUGCAUUCGAAACUGCAGGGCUAGAGUCCUGGAGAGGAAGGUGGAAUGCUUGGUGUAGAGGUGAAAUUCGUAGAUAUCAAGCGGAACACCGGUGGCGAAGGCGGCCUUCUGGACAGUGACUGACGCUGAGACGCGAAAGCGUGGGGAGCAAACAGG